AAUCCACGCCACUUCCUCCUAUUUUCGAUAACAACAAUAAGCUGCCUUCUGAUAACUUGUGGUUGUGGAAGAAAAUCUUGGCGUGAGAAUGGGCAGUCACUCUGUUGUAGUGCUGGGGUUGAUAGCCCUGGCGGCGAUAUUACUGGGCCAACCUACUGAAGCUGUGGAUUUUGAAUUCUCUAAUAAUGCCCAGGGAACCACCGGUGGCAACAGAUUUGAUCAAGAGAUCGGCCAGAGUGGAGCCCUUGAAAUUAUGAACUCUUCCACUAAAUUCAUCUGGGACACUUUCCAACAGCAAUCGGCUGCAGAUAGGAAGAAUGCGGACAAGGUUACUCUCAUCGUCGAAAGCAUGGACGGCAUUGCGUAUACAAGUGGAGACCAAAUUCACCUGAGUGCAGAUUAUGUGGGAACUUCCAAGGCGACCUCAAGACGGCAAUUCGAGGAGUUUUGUACCAAGAAAUGACGCACGUGUGGCAGUGGAACGGGCAAGGCAAUGCUCCGAGUGGACUCAUUGAGGGCGUUGCAGACUAUGUUCGCCUCACUGCCGCUCUGGCUUCUCCUCAAUGGGUGAAGCCCGGUGGUGGAGACAAAUGGGACCAGUGUUAUGAUGUUACUGCCUAUUUCUUGCAGUAUUGUGAUAGUGUUAGCUCUGGAUUUGUUGCCAAGCUCAACGCUAAAUUGGCUUCUGGAUGGAACGUGGGAUUCUUUAAUGACCUCACUGGUAAAUCUGUUGAUCAGCUUUGGAGUGAUUACAAGGCCAGGUAUGCUUCUCCUGCUUAGAGAUCAAUAUGCUCUGCUUUUAUCAUCUACCUGUUAUAACUAGCUAUGUCAAAUAAACGAGCCGCAAAUGGGAAUAAUAUAUUCGUAUCCACAUUAAAAUACCAUGGAGAGUGGUUUUUUUUUAAGUUUUCCCUUGUUAUAGGUUGUAUUGGUAUAGUUUUGGGUCUAUUUGGUACCAUGUUUGGCCAUUGUAGCUAUCAAAUAUUACUAUGAUAUAUGUAGGCAAUUACGAUGCUUAAGAUCUAAUGAGGCAUUCAAUAUCUAUGCAUUAUUUGAAAGAUCAA